rnacentral:tRNA from 1 species
UGGCUAAGAGGUUAAAGCGUCUGCCUCCAAUGCGGAGACCCAGGUUCGAUCCCUGG